AUUGAACGCUGGCGGCAUGCCUUACACAUGCAAGUCGAACGGUAACGGGCCUUCGGGUGCCGACGAGUGGCGAACGGGUGAGUAAUAUAUCGGAACGUACCUUCCAGUGGGGGAUAACGUAGCGAAAGUUACGCUAAUACCGCGUAUUCUGUGCGCAGGAAAGCAGGGGACCCUCGGGCCUUGCGCUGAUUGAGCGGCCGAUAUCAGAUUAGCUAGUUGGUGAGGUAAAGGCUCACCAAGGCGACGAUCUGUAGCGGGUCUGAGAGGAUGAUCCGCCACACUGGAACUGAGACACGGUCCAGACUCCUACGGGAGGCAGCAGUGGGGAAUUUUGGACAAUGGGGGCAACCCUGAUCCAGCCAUGCCGCGUGAGUGAAGAAGGCCUUCGGGUUGUAAAGCUCUUUCGGCCGGGAAGAAAUCGUAUGGGCUAAUACCCUGUGCGGAUGACGGUACCGGCAUAAGAAGCACCGGCUAACUACGUGCCAGCCGCCGCCGUAAAAC
rnacentral:rRNA from 1 species